rnacentral:rRNA from 1 species
AUACGAAAGGUGCGAGCGUUGUUCGGAUUUACGGGGCGUAAAGCGAGUGUAGGUGGUUUGUUAAGUCGGAUGUGAAAUCCCGGGGCUCAACCUCGGAACUGCAUUCGAUACUGGCAGGCUAGAGUUCGGGAGGGGUAAGCGGAAUUCCGUGUGUAGCAGUGAAAUGCGUAGAUAUACGGAGGAACACCUGAGGCGAAGGCGGCUUACUGGACCGAUACUGACACUGAGACUCGAAAGCGUGGGUAGCAAACAGGAUUAGAAACCCUAGUAGUCC